GCCUUGCCAUUGCUACAUUGUUGGAGUAGAGUGGCUGCUAUACAAGUGACGACAUUUGGAAGAUUCGCAGAGCUUUGUAAGAAACAUUGUCGAGCAAAGUCAACUUUUCGCCUUGCACGUACAGUAUACUGUACACGUGGUCCACCAAAUGACAUAGCAACAAGCGGAGAAACACGCGGCGAAGCAAGUGCAAAAGUGAUGACGUCGUCUGGACAGCGUUGUGCGUGAAAUAACGGCUCGGCGCUGGUGCUGUCGUACAUAUUCAAGUGUGGUGUAUCACCAAUAGUGGUAGCUAUUCCAAGAAGAAUUUCGGUGUUGUUUUUGUCAGACUGACGGUUUUGCUGAACAGAGCAAUUGUAAAUAACGACGGGAGUUCGGCUAUGGUGAUACUGUUAAAGUGAAGUUUGUUGUUCUCUACGGAAUCCAACAAUUCGGACGUUGUUGCGUUUGGUGUCUGCUAGUUGUCCAUCGAAGUAUUGUUUCAGGGUUUUCGUGCUUGUCUUCAUUGGUGAAAUAGCUGUGACGAAUCCGUGAACAGUUGUUUGUCCUUGAGAUGUCGUUAGUUGAUCGAAAUAGAAAUAUUCGUCAGAUGUAUCAGCUGCGGCGCGUUUCCGUGAAGUAACUGAUUGCAAAUGGUUAGUUGCCAUCCUUCAAAAACGAAUCUAGCAGUUCAGAGAACGAGUAGGUCUAGGCAAAUAAAUUCUAGUCGUGUGCAUCGCAUUUGUAGACGUAGUUUAGGUAUAGACAGACGUAAUAGAUGAGAAAAGCAAUGAGACUGUUGUCGAGUAAAGUAACACUAGUGAAGACAGUGCCAUAACAGGUGUUGCUACUUGAGACAUGUUUUCAUAAACAUUGUUGUCAACUUGCAAUUGCAUAUUUGGACGUGAAUGUUGUGUAACAGUUUUGUCGGUUUGUAAGUAUCUCACGGUCACAGACUGAUUACGAUUUUGUCGUCUGACAUUGUUCGUGAUUAUGCAGUGUAGUUGUAGAACGGUAGCAAUUGACAAAGAAACCGAGCACCGUUUUAGACAGAAUUUGAGAACGGCACGCAGAAAGAGGCUAGACAGUGUCUAGAGGUUAGACAGUGUCUAGAAAGGUUUGUGUGUACAAAAGGAAUGGAUUUACUGUCAGGUAGCUAGAUCAAAGUGUCAAUUUACGAUGUCGUUUGUGAGUAGAAUGUUUUCCGUAGAAGCUGGGAAAGUAAUAAGAAAGAGCAAGAAGUGGCUAAGAGAGCACGGACAGUCCGUUUGGGCAGACGUGCAAAUUGCUAUCGAAAGUUUACGUUUGAUUACUACGUAUGGGAUGCGAUCAAUUGUGUAACGGUUAGAGUUAGAUGACUUCCAUUAUCAAAUUUGUGUCUUUCUAUACAGACGGGAAUCGAUGAAACGCCUCGGAUUGAAAUCAUAGGAGGAUUUUUUCAAUGGAAAAGACCAGAAGUCGGUGUACGUGGACCUAAAGAAAAAACGGAAAAUUAUCAGAAAGCCGACAAAAGCCUGCAUAGUUUUCUUAUUUGCAAGACUCAUGGAAUUGCUGAGUUUAGUAGAUUUACAGGCUAGCUGGUUGGAGGAAAAUAGAGAGUAAACUUGUUGUUGGAGAGAAUAUGUUGUGUUGUGUUGCUUUUUUGGACGGUACAUGUAAUGCAUAUGUAUUUAAGUUAGCUGUAUAUACGAAAAUGAGUAUAUUGGGUUCUAUGCAAA